UCUGGCUGACUCCUGUGAAGCUGACUCCAGCUGGAAAAAGAGCUUGUAGAAAGCCAGACACCUCAGAUGGAGGCCAGAUGCGAGGAUGAGGAAACCUGUCAUGGGUACUCUUGAGAAUAAGCAGAGGCUCCACACUCUCUCCAUUACUCCUGGACACAGUAAUCCCAUGAUGAAAGCACCGAAGGCCUGAGCAGCAAAAUCAGCACACUCAUUCCCAAAGUCAGGAUAUGGAACAAUAGCUGAAAGAACAUAUGUAAUCUACAUAUUAAGAAAACGAAAAGAUACUGGUGCAACAAUAGAAGGAAAAUGGAACCUACUACCAAGGGAGGAGUUCAAGAUACCAUCACUAUCAGAUAGUCCAAAAUAAAAGUAGA